AGACCUGGGCUAGCAGGCCUCAGGAAGAACUCCAAUAGCGUCUGUGUCAGCACGCCCACACCAGGCCACAACAAUGGCCGCCGCCAAUGUCCGAGUCCCUGGAGAGGUCUCACUUCACACUGAGAUGCACUCAGGGCCUAUUAGGUACUUCUCUCCUACCCCACCCGCAUUCCAAAGAUCUGGGUUCCAGCUCCAAUUCUGCCACCAAAUGGCCAUCUGUUCUUGGGUGAGUCAUCUAACCUCUCCAGGUGUUAGUUUCCUCAUCUGUCAGAUCUGCUCUGCCUACCUCACAGGGUUGCUGAGCUGAUCAAAGGAGAUAAAGACAUGAGAAUGUUUUGAAGAGUUAAAAACACCAAGAGAAGAUGGCCACAUGGUCAUGCGACCUCAUGUCUGGAAGAAACUAGAAUUGACCUGGCAAGACACUGGUUCAAGGGAAGAAGAUCUUCAUAGGACCCAGCUCUCUCAGGUCAAUCAUAGUUCCCAUGUGGUCAUAGUGACCUCAGGGGGGAAAAAUAAUUGUAGUUUUCCAUGCUAGCAUUAUUGGUGGUAAUAGUUGUUUUAGAAGACACAAACACAGCAACAAGUUCUAGAACAUACUCACAAUUUCCUUGGACACAGUGGGAUCAAAGUGCUCUAUAAAGGGUCUGAUGAACUUCUAUUUAGUUGACUUCAAAUCGUAAGCAAGAAACAGUCCUGUAAAGAUAGACAGUGGAGGUCAGAAAGACAUCUAGAAGAUUUAAAUUGCUUUGUCUUUUAAUUUAAUAAUAUUUACUCUUUUUAAAAUAGUAAACAAUACAUGUUGGUUUUAGAAAAAAUAGAAAAUACAGAUUGGGAAAUAGGACAUAAGACUCAUCUGUCAUCCCACCAUUGGCUAUAACCUCUGUUAACCCAUGGAAUCCUUAUAGAUUGUUUCAUGAAUAUUUGUGUAUAUACGGAUAUAUAUUUUUUCUAUUGUUUUUAGUUUACAAAACAAGGAUCAUACUGUACAUACUAUUUUGUGAUCUGCUUUUCUUUCAUUGAAUAAGAUGUUAUGAAUAUCUUCUGCCAAUAAAGAAACUUCAACUGUGUGGUAGACAGCUUCUAAGAUGGUUCCCAAUGAUCCCCGCCCUCUCGCAUACACACCGUUGUGUAAACCGCUCCUCCUGGAGUUUGGGCUGGACCUCUGACUUACUUCUAACCAAUAGAAUAUGGCAAGAGUGAUGAGAUGUCAGUUCUGAGAUUAGGUUACAAAAAGAAUCUGGCCGCUGUCUUGCUCACCCUCUCCUCCUCUCUGGCUUGCUUACUAUGAUGAAGCCAACUGCUAUGUUGUGAACUGCCCUACAGAAAGGAGGGCAGUGGAACUGAGGGAGACCUCCAACCAACAGACCUGGAGGAACUGAAUCCUGCCAACAACCACUUGAUUGAGCUUGAAAGUGGAUUCUCUCCAAGUUAAGCCUUGAAAUGAUUCAAAUACCUUGAUUGCAGCCCAAUGAGAAGCCCUGAGUCAGAGGACCCAGUUCGGCUCUGCCCACAGACUCCUGACCCACAGUAACUGUGAGAUAAUAUAUGUUUAUUGUUUUAAGCUGCUAAGUUUUGGGGUAAUAUAGCCAUAGAUAACUAAUACAAACCUCAUGGUUGUU